UGGAGUUGUGCCUUCUGGGUCAGAGAUGAAAGGAGCUGGCUGUAACCCUGUGCAACUGAAACCCUUUUUCCGAUGGAGAAGAUUUUGAAAGGCAACAUUAUGAUAAUCCUUUUUGAUCUGCUGUUUCAUUGACAGAGCUGAAGGAAAUGAUGGAAAAUGAGCCAAAAGCAUCGUGUGAGUCAAGAGGCGCAGAAGUGCUGCCAAGCAGCGUUCCCACCAUGGCAGAACAGCUCCUGGGCUGGUGAAUUCCAGAGAAAUGGCUCUGUGGUGGCUGGCACAGA